GACGAACGCUGGCGGCGUGCUUAACACAUGCAAGUCGAACGGAAAGGCCCUGCUUUUGUGGGGUGCUCGAGUGGCGAACGGGUGAGUAACACGUGAGUAACCUGCCCUUGACUUUGGGAUAACUUCAGGAAACUGGGGCUAAUACCGGAUAGGAGCUCCUGCUGCAUGGUGGGGGUUGGAAAGUUUCGGCGGUUGGGGAUGGACUCGCGGCUUAUCAGCUUGUUGGUGGGGUAGUGGCUUACCAAGGCCUUGACGGGUAGCCGGCCUGAGAGGGUGACCGGCCACAUGGGGACUGAGAUACGGCCCAGACUCCCACGGGAGGCAGCAGUGGGGAAUAUUGCACAAUGGGCGGAAGCCUGAUGCAGCAACGCCGCGUGCGGGAUGACGGCCUUCGGGUUGUAAACCGCUUUCGCCUGUGACGAAGCGUGAGUGACGGUAAUGGGUAAAGAAGCACCGGCUAACUACGUG
rnacentral:rRNA from 1 species